CAUGGCGGUAAUCCGGAAUUACUGGGGCCGUAAAGCGCGCGUAGGCGGUUUGGUCAGUCGGAUGUGAAAGCCCUGUUGCAAAAGAGGAGAAUUGCAUUCGAUACUGCCAAACUAGCCCAUCUGUAAAAGGAAGUGGAAUUUCCGGUGUAGCGGUGAAAUGCGUAGAAUCGGAAGGAACCCAGUGUUUCUCUCAACAGCGGAGGGCAUCUGAGCUGAGUCC
rnacentral:rRNA from 1 species